CGGACGGGUGAGUAAUGCCUAGGAAUCUGCCUGGUAGUGGGGGACAACGUUUCGAAAGGAACGCUAAUACCGCAUACGUCCUACGGGAGAAAGCAGGGGACCUUCGGGCCUUGCGCUAUCAGAUGAGCCUAGGUCGGAUUAGCUAGUUGGUGAGGUAAUGGCUCACCAAGGCGACGAUCCGUAACUGGUCUGAGAGGAUGAUCAGCCACACUGGAACUGAGACACGGUCCAGACUCCUACGGGAGGCAGCAGUC
rnacentral:rRNA from 1 species